rnacentral:rRNA from 2 species
GCUCAGGACGAACGCUGGCGGCGUGCCUAAUACAUGCAAGUCGAGCGGACAGAUGGGAGCUUGCUCCCUGAUGUUAGCGGCGGACGGGUGAGUAACACGUGGGUAACCUGCCUGUAAGACUGGGAUAACUCCGGGAAACCGGGGCUAAUACCGGAUGGUUGUUUGAACCGCAUGGUUCAGACAUAAAAGGUGGCUUCGGCUACCACUUACAGAUGGACCCGCGGCGCAUUAGCUAGUUGGUGAGGUAACGGCUCACCAAGGCGACGAUGCGUAGCCGACCUGAGAGGGUGAUCGGCCACACUGGGACUGAGACACGGCCCAGACUCCUACGGGAGGCAGCAGUAGGGAAUCUUCCGCAAUGGACGAAAGUCUGACGGAGCAACGCCGCGUGAGUGAUGAAGGUUUUCGGAUCGUAAAGCUCUGUUGUUAGGGAAGAACAAGUGCCGUUCAAAUAGGGCGGCACCUUGACGGUACCUAACCAGAAAGCCACGGCUAACUACGUGCCAGCAGCCGCGGUAAUACGUAGGUGGCAAGCGUUGUCCGGAAUUAUUGGGCGUAAAGGGCUCGCAGGCGGUUUCUUAAGUCUGAUGUGAAAGCCCCCGGCUCAACCGGGGAGGGUCAUUGGAAACUGGGGAACUUGAGUGCAGAAGAGGAGAGUGGAAUUCCACGUGUAGCGGUGAAAUGCGUAGAGAUGUGGAGGAACACCAGUGGCGAAGGCGACUCUCUGGUCUGUAACUGACGCUGAGGAGCGAAAGCGUGGGGAGCGAACAGGAUUAGAUACCCUGGUAGUCCACGCCGUAAACGAUGAGUGCUAAGUGUUAGGGGGUUUCCGCCCCUUAGUGCUGCAGCUAACGCAUUAAGCACUCCGCCUGGGGAGUACGGUCGCAAGACUGAAACUCAAAGGAAUUGACGGGGGCCCGCACAAGCGGUGGAGCAUGUGGUUUAAUUCGAAGCAACGCGAAGAACCUUACCAGGUCUUGACAUCCUCUGACAAUCCUAGAGAUAGGACGUCCCCUUCGGGGGCAGAGUGACAGGUGGUGCAUGGUUGUCGUCAGCUCGUGUCGUGAGAUGUUGGGUUAAGUCCCGCAACGAGCGCAACCCUUGAUCUUAGUUGCCAGCAUUCAGUUGGGCACUCUAAGGUGACUGCCGGUGACAAACCGGAGGAAGGUGGGGAUGACGUCAAAUCAUCAUGCCCCUUAUGACCUGGGCUACACACGUGCUACGAUGGACAGAACAAAGGGCAGCGAAACCGCGAGGUUAAGCCAAUCCCACAAAUCUGUUCUCAGUUCGGAUCGCAGUCUGCAACUCGACUGCGUGAAGCUGGAAU